UAAUUUACAUGAUGUCAUAAUUUACUCUCCUGAGAAGCUGUGUGACCUCAGGGCUCCAGUUAGAACCACAGAGAAAUCGGAGUUCCUGAGUGACUCUUCAAACCAAACCUUCAAAGACUCUGAAGGAGCAGAGGGGACACAAUGGAUCAUUAACAGACAGGAUGAGGAAGAAUUGCCAUACUUAACCCAGGCAAGGUGGCACACACCUAUAAUUCCAGAUCAUGAGAAGUAGAAGGAAGAAGAGCACAGAUGUUCAAGGUUUCUUGCUGCCACAUUGCCCCUCUCUCUCCCAAUAAACCUCACGUGGAACUGUUUGGCCUCAUUUGGUCCUUCUGCUGCCAUGUGACGUUCGAGAUCAUAACACUAAUGGUUCUCCAACUACCAGAAAUGUUCUUCCGUGCUCCACCCCAACACCCUGACAGUCCCCAGUAAGCAGCAGCUUUCUGUCAGAGAACAAGACAUUGGCCACUUACUCCUUGUGAUGGUACUGAACAAGCAGAGAAGGCAGAAUCCCCCCCACUAUGGAUUUCUCACUCCUGUGAACAAAUGUCCACCCCCUUCCCAACUGCAAGAGGGAUGUCGGAUUUAAUCCUCAGGCUUGUUCCAUCUUGGUUUCAAGACAGCUGUAGCAACUCCAGCCAUUGCAUCUUUCCCAGCUGGGUCAGAUUUGAUCAUUUAUAGAUUCUGAAACAAUUAGCACAGACUUGGUACUUAGAACAACAGGGACUUAUUCUCCAAGAGGCUGAAGUCAGCGUCACUGAGGUGAAAUAAAGGUGUUGAUGGGGUUCUACACCCACUGAAGGUUCUGCAGAAAGGCUGGGUCCUUGUCUCCCAAUGUUUGAUGGUUCCAGCAUCCUGGAUCUGUAGCUGCAUCUUUCUAAUCACCAUCUGUCUUUCCACUGAGGGUCUAUGAUCUUGUUUAGACCAUGAGUUCUCCUCUUCGUUAGAGACACUAACUUGAGCUUGCUUUAGUGCCUACCUGGGCUCUGUAAGAGACUGUCCCAACUCAAGUCCUCAAAUUUAAUCAUAUCUGCACAGAUCUCUUCCCAACCCCUAGGGCUGUUAUUUACCCGAGUAAGAUGCCAUAUACUAGUAUGUGCACAUCUUCUCAUCUAUAAGUGGGGCGGUGGGCUGUGAGAGGAAUCCUGGUAAGGUGGAGCUAAGGCUUGAAGUCCGGGGGACCCUGAAGGGACGGUAGGAGCUUUGCCUGCUCCCAGAACCAGGCCCCUGUCAGGUAGCCACAGCUCCCUACAGCCCCCUAUAGAGAGGUUUGUGGCCAUCAGUCACAUAGGGGCAGCACUCCAAGCCCUCCCACAUGUAGAUGAGGUAUCCCCAACCUCUCAGACCAAGCCAAUAGGAAGCACCUACUGUCAUUCUCUGACCCAGCCCAAAAUCUCAAGCGUGGAAUUGAAUUCACUAAGACUGACUUUGAACUCCCAGUCCUCUGAGUGCUGAGAAUAUCGCUGUGUGCCAGCAUGGUGCGCCGGGGAUCAAAUCCAGAGUCUGUACGUGCUAAACAAGCAUCCUUGCCAACUGAGCCACAUCCCCAGACCAAAACAGGACUGUUUCCUGUACAUUACUUCACUCCAUAAUAGACUCUGCAUCUUUUCUGUGCCUUGUAUGUCAAAUCUGAAUUCAUUCCACAAAAAUCAAAAGGAUGGAGGAACCCGGGGAUCCUGGUAUCAAAGUCACUGCCACAGCCCAGGCUGUGCCUAUCCUCACCUCUCUGCUGAACUGGUGGAAGUAGGAUGGAAUGGUCACUGUGGAGAUGCCUUCAGUAAGGAAACCUGUGGGACCAGUUCCUGGAUAAAGAGAAUGGAUAGCUUCCACUUGCUUCUUACUAGAAUGGAGUUCCCACUAGGUUUCACACACAUGCAUUACAGCUGUGACUGUCAGAGUCGAUUCCCACCAGCAUCUUAGAACUGGGAAGCCGAAUCUGUUACCGUAAGUUUUCUGAGAAAGAAAUAUUUUUUUGGUACAUUGGUCAAAAGUCAAAUCAUUAAUUGCCAACCAAUAAAGGCAAAACCAUUGGGAAAAAUAAUUAUUAAGAGUUUUAAUUGCUCUGGAAUUCUACACAGAAAAUUUUACAUUCUGUUACAUCUGAGAUCGCUGAGGACCCUGAAGAACUGUGGAAACUCUUUGCUCAAACCAGACUUUGGCUUUUUUCUCACGCUGCUCUCAGCCUGAGGCAGAGAAGCUCUUCAGUAGAAGGCAGCAGCUAUUGCACAGACUCCUACAUGGUCAGAAUAUGGGGAACAAGAGUGAGCCCUCAGCCUUAAAUGUCUUAAAUCUGUCAUACACACCCAAGGCCCAGGGAACAUUUGCAGAAGGAAGGCAGAAAAACAAAGAAACAAACAAACAAAUAGAAAAACAAGAGCAGGAGGACAGGAAGGGGUGUCAGGAACUGCUUCUGUACAGAUCUAGCAUUGCUGUUGAAACCAUGAGCACACAGCAGCUAUGGAUACCUGCAGAAGACUUGGGCCACAGGAGCUCCCAUCUCUGUUGAAGAACUAAAGGAAAUAAAUAAAUAAAUAAAAAUUUUAAAAAAUCAAUUCUUGCCACAGAGGCCACAUUUAACAGUGUUGUGGCUCCUGUCUCCAGGGCAUCAAAAGUGCCUCACUGCCCUAAGUCCCAACGAGCCUCAUGGGUCCAGCUCUGCAGAGGUUUCAUGAUGGGAAAGACAGCUUGCAAAGAUCUAAACAACACCCCCCCACACACACACACACCACCCCCAGACAACAAAGCAGCUCAGAGAUGGGAGCUUGUAGGCAGGAAAGGUCUAUAAACAAAUGGAUUGACAUUGGACUCAGAGGAGAAGGUCCCCAAAGCAUAGCAGAAUGAGUCUGGAAACAGAAAUGAGGGAAAGAAGAUUUAAUUCCUUUUUGAGACAAAAUGCCACGUAUCCAGGCUACUCUUAAAUUCCAUCCGUAGCGAAGGAUGACCGUGAACUUCUGAUAUUCCUGCUUCUACCUCCCAGUAUUGGGAUUAGAAGUACAACGUUAGUCCAGUUUAUGGGGUACAGGUUUCAUGCACACUCGUGAAGUUGAGCUACACUACCAGCUAAGAGUGCCCAAUCUUUGUUUCAAAACACACUUAAACCAGUCUAGGUGAUGAGCAAUUCUAAAUCCAAGCCCUUGGGAGUUGUAGAAAGUACAAUGGCUGUAAGUGUGAGGCCAGUCUGAGACCCUGUCUCAAAAACUUCCAAGCAAACAAACAACAACAAAACCAAAGGAAAAGAAAAACAAAACCACACUUCAGACUCCGGCAUGGAGUAAAGCGAGCCAAUCACAGAUGGCAACAACUGCUUUAUUCUCAAUCCUGGUGUGAGAAGAGCUUCAGGAGGGGCCACAGGAGAACUGUCUGCAGGAACAAGCCAUGCCAGAUGCAGCAGGAAGAUGAAGGGUCGUUGAGGCGGACAUAGAUCAAGUGUGUGGGAUACGCCCGCCGCAAGGCUCCUGGAGGUGAGGACUUGCUCCAAUGGAGGGAGCACUCUGGAUAAUCCUCCUGCAGGACUGGUGCCUGAAGAAGUUUAGAUUUAGACAUUAUGUGCAGAAAAAUCACUGGUAUCCUGGGAGUGCUCAGUUGGCUCACUAGACUCAAGCAACGGGUGUUCCUUUGCGCUCACUUGCCAUUGCCUAAAAUAUCCUUGAGCCAGAAGUGGUGACUUCAAGCCUGUGCAGCUUUAUGCAAUUUGGUGUCAAAGGCUUUGGCUUCAACACCUGAUGGCUCUCUCAGAGGCUAGGCGUUAAAAGUCCCAGAGAGAGCAGGAGCCUACCUGACAAGGAAAAACAUCUGCAGCUCUCAGAAUGAGAUACCUCGCGCUGGGCAAAGGCAGAAUCCAGACUUAUGCUAUAUGACAUGAAAGUUGAAGGGCGACCAAUGUCAGGGGAGAAAUGGCACCCAGCCGUGGUGAGGAAGAGAGAAUAUUGGGGCAGGACCCACUACACGUCAGGCGUGUUGCCAAGUGUUGGAGAGGAUAUACAGUUGAAGAAAUUCCCUUUCCAGGCUGAGGCUGCCGAAGCCCAUAAAGAAGGUCAACUAAUGAUGGCACCGCAUGUCAAAAAGAACAUAGGAAAUGAUGCUACCAUGGAUUACACUGUAACACAGAAAGCUAAAACCCACGUUCUUAGAGUGAAGACUUUGAACCUAUGUGCAUUAAACCUUACAGAAAUUUGUGAAAAUUAUGAAUUGCAUGGAAGAAAUCAAUUCAGAUGAGCCUUGAAGGAGGGCCAAGGAGAGAGCAGAGAAAAUGUGUGCCGUGGGAAAGCUGAGCGCCGCUUUUCUUUCUCUUGGGAAUAGCAUUCUGAAAGGUGAAGUGUACACACAACAGGAGCACAGCGAAGGAUUCAGCUCCACGGCCGUCAGGAUGCCAACAGUGGCAGCUGCUGUAGCUUUAAAAAGGACUUUCCCAGAAGGCAAGAAAGAUACCUGACUGAGUGGGCCAUUGGUAAGGAUGCAGCUUUAGAAGAACCAGCCUAAAACAGAGCCUGAUACACAGGGACUUAAUGGAAGUAAUAAAAGGCCUACAAGGAACUGGCAGAAGCAGGGAACUGUAUGAUGCCACCAGGGAGGUCUCAGACCAUCCGGCCCACUACACCAGUCACAACGCAUGGACAAGUGAGUGCAAGACGUUUUGAGGCCUGCAAUGUGGCUAGUAGGUGAAAGUUGGAUGAUCUGAGGUCAGCAUCUGGAACUCUCCCGUGGAAAGGAGAAAUGACCCCCUACAAGUUGCCCUCUGAUCUCCACACAGAUGCCAUGCUCACACAUGUGAGCCCACUCGUGCCUGUGCACACAUGCACGCAUGCACACACAGUCACUCACGCUUUCA
rnacentral:lncRNA from 1 species